CUCAGGAUGGACCGUGUGGGGAGAGUAAGGUCAGGAGACGCGGCCGGCUCUCACUCCACCCUGGGCUUGGCCCGGCGCCGGGAUGAGCCCAGCAUCAGCCACCGUCUCUCGCCCUCAAGCCUCCCGCCUGGCCCUUCCAGCCUCAGGCUGGUGGAGCUGCAGCUGCCGGACUGGCCUCCAGGUGGCGCCAGACUGCCGACUCGGGCCGGUCCGGACCGCCAGGUGGGCGCGUCCCCCAGCCGGGCGCCUGGCUCCAUCCCGGGAGCAGGGUCCAGGGCUCCCGGGCUCCCACCUGACUGGGGCCGCGUGCAAGACGCUUUGUGAGUGGACGUCACACCUUCUCUAGUGGGGGGCCUGGGGCUCGGCUGGAAGUCUCCUCCUGUAGCCACCCGACCUCCACCCGCCCCGCGGCUCCGGCCCUUCACGGCCCACCUGGCGAGACAACCCCUCGCUCCCCUCCCCAGGAGCCAGGCUGCGGCGGGUGACCCCGAGUUGUACUUCUGGGGCUGCUCCCCCCCCAAGUGGGUGACCUCGAGCAAACAAGGUGCUUCCGGGGCCCUCCUCCGAUCCCCUGUGGCCCCGAGGCUGUCCGCUCUGGCACGGGGUCCUGAGCCCGCAGCCCAAACGCCUGCAGGACCCGCUCUCCGCUCUCCGGGUUGAAAUGAAAUUCCUGGAUUUUUUUCUUUCCUGGAUGAAAUUCCUGCCAGCUCGGAGGGAAGGAGGGAAGGGGAGCGAGAGGCGAGAAAGUUCCCUGGCUCCGCCCUCCCCUGCCAAGCCCAACCCGUGAAACCCAGGAGUGAAGACCAAGCAGAGAUGCCUGCUCCUCUCUGACUGUGCGCCACCGGUGCCCGCCGCCCUCCCGGCCGCCGCGAUGCCCAGCGCACCCGGGCUCCGCGCCCUCUGGCUCUGCGCCGCACUCUGCGCCUCCCCGUGCGCCCCCCAGCCUGGCCCGCGGCCCGCCUGCCCGGCCCCCUGCCGCUGCCACAAGGACGGCAUCAUGCUGUCGGCCGACUGCUCUGAGCGCGGGCUCUCCGCGGUGCCGGGGGACCUGGACCCCCUGACGGCUUACCUAGACCUGAGCAUGAACAACCUCACGGAGCUCCGGCCUGGCCUCUUCCUCAACCUGCGCUUCCUGGAGGAGUUGCGUCUCUCUGGAAACCGCCUCUCGCACAUCCCGGGACAGGCGUUCUCUGGUCUCCACAGCCUGAAAAUCCUGAUGCUGCAGAACAACCUGCUGGGAGGGAUCCCCGCCGAGGCGCUGUGGGAACUGCGGAGCCUGCAGUCUCUGCGCCUCGAUGCCAACCUCAUCUCCCUGGUCCCGGACAGGAGCUUUGAGGGGCUGUCCUCCCUCCGCCACCUGUGGCUGGACGACAACGCGCUCACCGAGAUCCCUGUCAGGGCCCUCGGCAAUCUCCGCGCCCUGCAGGCCGUGACCCUGGCCCUGAACCGAAUAGGCCACAUCCCCGACUACGCCUUCCGGAACCUGUCCAGCCUCGUGGUGCUGCAUCUCCAUAACAACCACAUCGAGCAUCUGGGGACCCACAGCUUCGAGGGGCUGCACAACCUGGAGACUCUAGACCUGAAUUACAACCAGCUGCACGAGUUCCCCGUGGCCAUCCGGACGCUGGGCCGCCUGCAGGAACUGGGUUUCCAUAACAACAACAUCAAGGCCAUCCCCGAGAAGGCCUUCCUGGGGAACCCUCUGCUGCAGACGAUACACUUCUAUGACAACCCGAUCCAGUUCGUGGGGAGGUCGGCGUUCCAGUACCUGCCCAGGCUGCACACCCUCACCUGGUGCUCUAUCUCCAGAUCUCUGAAUGGUGCCACGGACAUCCAGGGGUUCCCAGAUCUCAAAGGCACCACCAGUCUGGAGGUCCUGACCCUGACCCGUGCGGGCCUCCGGCGGCUCCCCCCGGGGAUGUGCCAACAGCUGCCCGGGCUCCGUGUCCUGGAGCUGUCUCACAACCAGAUCGAGGGGCUGCCCAGCCUGCACGGGUGUCAGAAGCUGGAGGAAAUUGGCCUCCAGCACAACCGCAUCUGGGAAAUCAGAGCUGACACCUUCCACCAGCUGACCUCCCUGCAGGCCCUGGACCUGAGCUGGAAUGCCAUCCGGUCCAUCCACCCCGAGGCCUUCGCGACCCUGCGCUCCCUGGUCAAGCUGGACCUGACGGACAACCAGCUGACCACACUGCCCCUGGCCGGGCUUGGGGGCCUGGUGCAUCUGAAGCUCAAAGGGAACUGGGCUCUGUCCCAGGCCUUCCCCAAGGACAGCUUCCCCAGACUGAGGGCCCUGGAGGUGCCCUACGCCUACCAGUGCUGUUCCUACGGCGUGUGCCGCGGCGUCUUCAAGGCCUUGGGCCGACGGGCGCCCCAGGGCCCUCACCCUGACGACCGCGACGCUCCCAAAAGGCCCCUGGGCCUCCCUGCCGACGCCGCCGAGAGCCACUAUGAUGUGGACCCAGACGAGCUCCAACUGGAGGUGGAGGACCCCAGGCCACACCCCACUGUCCAGUGCAGCCCUGUUCCAGGCCCCUUCAAGCCCUGCGAGCACCUCUUCGAGAGCUGGGGCGUUCGCCUGGCCGUGUGGGCCGCCGUGCUGCUCUCCGUGCUCUGCAACGGGCUGGUGCUGCUGAGCCUGUCCACAGCCGGGCCCGGCCCCCUGCCCCCGUUCAAGUUUGUGGUGGGGGCCAUCGCAGGGGCCAACACCCUGACCGGCCUCUCCUGCGGCCUUCUCGCCUCGGUGGACGCGCUGACCUUCGGCCGGUUCGCGGAGUACGGUGCCCGCUGGGAGUCGGGCCCGGGCUGCCGGGCCGUGGGCUUCCUGGCCGUGCUGGGCUCCGAGGCCUCCAUGCUGCUGCUGACCCUGGCCGCCGUGCACUGCAGCGUGGCCGUGGCCUGCGUGCGGGCCCGUGGGAAGGCGCUGGCCCCGGGCAGCUUGCACGCGGGGGCCCUGGGCUGCCUGGCGCUGGCGGGGCUGGCGGCCGCCCUGCCACUGGCCUCCGUGGGUGAGUACGGGGCCUCCCCGCUCUGCCUGCCGUACGCCCCGCCCGAUGGCCGGCCGGCCGCCCUGGGCUUCGCCGCGGCGCUGGCGAUGCUGAACGCCUCCUGCUUCCUGGCAGUGGCCGCAGCCUACGUCAGGCUGUCCUGCGAGCUGCCCGGGGCCGAGCUGGAGGCCGUGUGGGACUGCGCCGCCGUGCGCCACGUGGCCCGUCUCACCUUCGCUGACGGGCUCCUCUACUGCCCCGUGGCCUUCCUGAGCCUGGCGUCCGCGCUGGGCCUCGUCCCCGUCACCCCCGAGGCCGUCAAGUCCGUGCUGCUUCUGGCGCUGCCCCUGCCCGCCUGCCUCAACCCCCUGCUCUACCUGCUCUUCAGCCCCCACUUCCGGGAGGACCUGCGGCGGCUCCGGCCCUGCCUGGGGGUCCCGGGGCCUCUUGCCCUGGCGGCCGCCGGCCAGCUGGAGCCGAGCUCCUGCGACUCCACCCAGGCCCUGGUGGCCUUCUCGGACGUGGAGCUCAUCCUGGAGGCCUCCGAGGCGGGCCGGCCCUCCGGGCUGGAGACCUACGGCUUCACCUCCGUGACCCUCGCCCCCUGCCAGCAGCCCGGGGGCUCCCGGCCGGAGGGCAGCCACUUUGCGGAGCCAGAGGGAACCCGCUUUGGGAACCGGCCACCCGCCGUGGACGGCGGACAGCCGCGGGGGGCCGAGGGGGCCGUGCCAGCGGGGGCGGGCCAGGCGGGGGCGGGGGCCUUCCAGGCGUCUGGCUCUGCCUCGGCCUCACACUUGUAAACGUAUGUCCUCUCCGUUCCCCUACGCCCCUCCCCUCCCGCCCCCUCCGUGAAGGACGCUGCUUGUAAAAUAAACCCCACCAGAUGGCCCCGCCCCCGGCCCGCGCUCUCCCAGGCCACCACCGUGUGUACUUGGCCUGGGUUCCCCUCGGCCCUGCUCUGGCCUCUUCCCUGUCGCGUCUGAGGCUGAGGACCAGAGGUCUGGACGUUUGUCCGCUUAAGGUAAAUGAGGGGAGCAGAGGACAGUGACGGGGGCGGGGGCCCGAGCGGCCCAGGAUCAGGUGCGACGGACAGGGGACCGCACAGGGACCAAGGAGGGGCCGCCAGGGCUUCUCCCCUUGCUCCGGGACUGGAUGCACACGUGCUCUGUGCCCCGCUGGUCCUGAAUAUGCCGCUCAAAAGACUCCCGUGAAAACAAGUUUCUGAAAAUAGGACAUUGUGCCCGUUUCUUAGAGAUUCAGGGUGCACGUCAGUGUGGCAAAGAGGCAGGAGAAUCCCACAGCAGUGAGAUCUGUUGAACUUGCUUUAAGCCAGUUCCCCAAACUAUUGAACAAUAGGUUUUGGUUUGCCGGUUGGGUUUUCGUGGAAUAUCUACUAGCACCUCACAGACCAGCCCUCGUCUCUCCCAGGGGCCCCCUUUUGCACCACCUGGUGACAUCACAAGAGGCCACCAGUCUUAAAAGCCCGGUCCUGGGAGCUGGACCCUGUCAACCAGAUGUGGCCUUCUUGUCUCUGUUGUCCUGCCCUGAAAAGAGUGGGGAGCGGGCUGCUGCCCUGUGUUCCAGCCUCAGACCCCGGCACCGGGCAGGUGGAAGGGCUCCCAGCCACCAGAGAAGCUUCCGCCCUCAUACGAUGGAGGGUCCCUGGCUGCCGGCUGCCUUCCUGUGGUUCGCCAUCUGCCAUCUUCUGCCCCAAGCCGGGCCCCUCCCUGUGUGCCCCCAGGCCCUGCCCUCUAGGGGGCACAGGGAGCCCCUGACCAGCGCCUGGGGGGAUGUUUGUGUUGCAUGUUGGGUUGCAGGAAGCGUCACCCAGGCCUGGGACUCCUGGGCGCCCCAGAUUGGCUGGGACCUUCUGCCUUUCCCGCCGUGGCCUCCCUCCCUUACUUUUUACCAGGGCACCCCUCCCUGCCCUCAAAUACAGGAUGAGGAGUGAGAGCCAGGGCUCGGGAGAGGGUGAGACCUGUCCACGGCACCCCGAUGUCUGCCACGUCGGGAUGGGAGUCGGAAUCCGGGACCCAGCAGGACCCAGCACUCACCGAGUGCUGUCGUGGUCCUGAGCCAGCCCCCUAGGGCCUCUGCUCCUAGGACGACCUGGGAAGGUCCUUCUAUUGAUAGUUACAUGGCCUGCGGCCCAGUGUCUGUCUCCCUGCCCUCCCCCCGAAGUGGAAAUUCUCACAGGAGUCGCCAAAGCCACCAGGUGGGGUGGAGGGAUGAGGUGGGGACCACGGUGGAACCGGCACAUUUUCGAUCUCAUUCUAAGUCAGAGGCCAGGCUCUGAAACCAGACGUGCUGCCCUGGUGCCACAGAAGAGCCCCAGGGCCCAGGCACAGGGCCAGCCCCGGCAGGCGCUCGGUGGUGGUGGAUUCAUUUGUCAGCUGGUGACGUGAGAACCCCGGUCCCUGCACCUCCCGGGGUUGAUCAGGGGCCUCUCGUGGAAGCAGGUUGCUCUGCUCUGGUGCUGAGAAGCAGUGACUCUUAUGUGAGAAAGGAGUUCUCCGAGACGCCCCAGGGAUGGACAGCAAAGGGGGUGUGAUUUCGGGAGCCUCGACUUCUGGGAGGUCGUCCAGGCCCCUCCCUGUGUGGCCACCGUCCCCUCGGAGUCAGAGCUGUUGCUGGGUGGGCCAGGGGGAGGACGGCCCUGCGUUGGAGCCCAGGAGUCGUGGGACCCGUACCUGCAUUGGCCUCUCCCACGAGGAGGGGCUGGGGCUUCAGGGCUGCAAGCUCGAGGGCAGCCCCACCGCUGUCUGUGUUCUGUUCCCAACCAGCUGGGCAUUGGCCAGGGCUCCACCUUUUGGUUGGAGGAGAGGUGUUUGCCUGGAACUCUUUUUACUAUUCAAAAGCCUCGUAGAUGUUGUACAUUCACCCAACACGAGAGGCGAAGUAAAGUCUCUUCGUGUUCGCCUGGCUUUCCUGCAAGUCUGCGUCAAUCCUUGGUUCUCUCCGCUGUGAUCAGUAGAAGAUUAUGAAGAUAGGUAUAUCAUCGAUUAAACUCAACAUCAAAAGCCAAAUAAUUCAAUGCAUGUAGAUGCCUUUGUCUUGGAUUGAUGACAUAUUCCAAGAUGGUGCCCACGGGGAAGAGUCCGUCCCGGGGCCGUGGUGGUGAAGAUGCUGGUUCCCGCCACCCUGGCCUCUGACAGUGCUGCUGUGGAACACCCACGGUGCCCACCUGCCUCCCCGGACCACCUGCAGCAGAGGGUCCUGAGCAGCUCUGUCCACACCGUGAGGAAACCCAGCUCAGGGCUGGGUGCGAGGCCGCGGUUACAGAGCCUCAGGCGGGGCCUUCCCUUUGCCGUGCCCCCUCCACCUCAAGCUUCGAGCCUCCUUCCCAGCUUUGCCCGUCCAGGGUUGGGGAGUGGGGAGGACUGACGACGGUUCUCCGCAGGCCCGAGUAGGUGAGGACGGCGCCGGCCGUGGGACCCCUGACCCAUUCUGGCCUCUGUGCUGGUGCACCCCGCCCGGGUGGGCCCCGGGCUCGCCGAGCUGUGAAUAUUGAUCGGAUCCUUCUGAUAAAGAAGCACCAGUGGGCUUCCCUGGUGGCGCAGUGGUUGAGAGUCCGCCUGCCGAUGCAGGGGACGCGGGUUCGUGCCCUGUUCCGGGAAGAUCCCACAUGCCGCGGAGCGCCUGGGCCCGUGAGCCAUGGCCGCUGAGCCUGCGCGUCCGGAGCCUGUGCUCCGCAACGGGAGAGGCCACAACAGUGAGAGGCCCACGUACAGCAAAAAAAAAAAAAAAGCACCAGUGAAGUGAAGCCCCCGGGUCCCCCGGCCCCUCUCCUCUUCUCUUUGGUGGGUCUGUGGGCAUGGGGCGGGGGCUGUUCUGAGAGAGGAGGGUGCCCUGUGCCCUGGGCUCUGGGGCGUCGGGGCACAGCCUAGGGGGGGUCACCCUGCCCACCCAGAUUUAAGUGCCUUUGUGCACCUGGCACUGGGUUAGAGAGAAUGCCCGAGCCAUGGGGUUUCUAUCCUCAGACUCUGAGCACCCUGGACCCUUCCUGACACUGCAAACCCCAAAUACUCCGCUUGCUUUUCUGUCCUUGGCUGACCGUCUCAGCCUGCUUUCUGCCCUGGGAAUCUUCUCCCCCACCCUCUCUUCAGACUGGGAUGGUGUGUCCUUCACUGCACUUGUCGUAGACCCGUGAGGUACCUUCCCAGAAGUGGAACUGCGGGGUCAAAGGCCACUUACAAGUCACGACAUCUUCUCUUGACCUCAUAGCUCCUUUUGACGAAUAGUCUGUGUUUAUUCAUAAAUUCUGCUUCCAGGGGCCUCCCUGUGAGCCCUGCUCUCCCUCGAGGCCCCACCCUGCAUCCCUCGCUUCAGCUCCUGGGCUGGUGGCCUUGUUUUCUCUUGGGGUUUCCGAGGCAACGUCCUGAGAGGUUGAGUGAGAAUCCGACUAGCCGGGUAUCCUUCUCUCCACCAGGCCAAAUCACAGGUUGACCACUCAGGCCAGGCCCCUACCCUGGUCCCCUGAAGGGCAGUGUGUGGACUGGUGUGUCUGUGGGGCCCUGCUAGAGUUUAAUCCCAGCUAAACCAUCUACUAGUUGACUGAAUUUUGUCAGGUUAAUCAUCUUCCCCAUGUAGAAAGUGGGAAUAAUAAUCUCAAACUCAAACACUGUUAAAAGAAUUUUAAAAUAAUUUAUAAAAAGUGCCGGGACCUCCCUGGCAGUCCAGUGGUUAGGACAGUGAGCUUCCGCCGCAGGGGGCCGGGUUCGAUCCCUGGUCGGGGAACUAAGAUCCCACAUGCCGCUGGGCACAGCCAAAAGACUUUUUUUAAAAAAGGUGGGGCUUCCCUGGUGGUGCAGUGGUUGAGAGUCCGCCUGCCGAUGCAGGGGACACGGGUUCGUGCCCCGGUCCAGGAAAAUCCCACAUGCCGCGGAGCAGCUGGGCCCGUGAGCCGUGGCCGCUGAGCCUGCGCGUCCAGAGCCGCAACGGGAGAGGCCACAGCGGUGAGAGGCCCGCGUACCACAAAAAAAAAAAAAAAAAAAAAAAACCAGUAAAGUAUCUCAUAUAUAAAAGAAUAAAUGAAUCAAAAUAAACGAGUACAUGUAAGCAGACCCUACUCUCAAGGGGCCGCCUGGCAGGGGGAUGGGAGCUAAGCCAUCCCGUCCCUGCAAAGGGCCACCCUGACACUCAGCCCCGGGUCUGUUGUCACAGCCUCGUCAGGAGGAGGCAGAACCGCAGACGCCUCAGCGGUGAGACCAAGGGCCACCGCGUGCCCGCCCCUCUGUCUGGGGAGCAGCCCUCCGAGGGACCACAGUGGCUGAAGUUCCGCCCUGUGGCUUCUUUCUCCUUGGGGUGGGCCUGUGCCUGGGAUGCCUGUUGCUCUGGCCCAGUGGCCGCUUUCCUCCUUCUGGGAACACUUCAGCAACUGCUUCCACCGCCCCCUAAUGCAUGCGGCUUGCAGGGGUCUCGGCUCCGGGUCCAGUGGUGGCCGUGACUCCGGCUUCUCGGCUUAUUCUCUCUCUGCCACCGCGUCGGGUCCGAGGACGGGCUUCCAUCUCUGGGGCUCCCAGGGACCUGGGGGAAGCGUGACUGGACCCCUCGGUUUGUGAAGCGAUGACUCCUUUGCUCGGGUGCGAGUGUGAGAUCUGUCGCUCGGCUAGAGGAGACCCCUCUCUCAACACCCCCAGCCCAAAGCCUGGAGUAAACCCACUCACCUCUUAGCAACCCCUGGGGGAAGAGGGCAGCCGUGAAUGGGCUUUGGACAGGCAAGGAGGGUGGGCGGGGUGGGCUGUCAGGUGGGGAGAGUGGUGCUGGGAGGGGGUCCGCGGGGCAGAGGGGGAGGGGUGGAGGAGGGUGAGGGCGGAGGGGCAGGAGACCAGCCUCCUGGCUUCCUCCCUGAACCUGACCCCUGCAGGCUCUCCCAUGGGAGCUCACAGGAGGCUACAGAAUCACAGGACCGUCAGGUGGCAGCACGGGGACACGCCUUAGGGAGCAUCCACGCCCCCUCCUCACCGGGUCGGGGAGGGACGGCCCCACAGCUGCCCGGGGCCGAGGGGCAGAGGCACAAAAGGCAGAACAGUGUCUGUGUAGUCGGUACGUGGGGUCGUGGAGUUGGUCCAGCCUGGGUUCAACUCCCAGACCUUCCGUUGACAGCCCGCAGUCCUGAGUUUUACUUGACUUCUCUGUCUCAUUAUCAGAAACAUGGAAAUGACAAUGGUACCUAAGCUCUGAAGGUUAUUGAAAAGAUUAAAGGAGAUUUUUCAUGUAAAGAGCUUAGCUUAGUUCAUGACACUAGUAAGUACUUGAGAGAUGUUAGAUGUUAUUACUUAAUCCAAAAAGCAACGAGAAACUGGGGCUCUGAGCUGUCUUCCGGCUCAGCCUUGAGCACACUUGACACAGAAGAGGAAGGGUCCCCGGAGGAGCCGCUCCUAAGAAGAAGGCUGGCAACCUGGGCUUGGAGCCCGGCAGGAAGGCUGUGGGUUCGCAGGGGUCCAUGGGUGACGGUGCCGGGGACCCUGGGCCAUGAGAGAGGAGUGUCCCCUGGCACGGGCCAAGGUGGCUGGUGAGCUGUCAGCCGGGGGAAGCUGGGGGCUCCCCAGAGAGGACGUGUGCAGGGGGUCUCAAACAUACCUCCGGGUCUGGAGAGAACCCCGAGACUAAGCUCACCCCCAGGGCAACUGCCUCUGCUGGGGGGGGUCUGGGGGAAAGCGGCUCAGCAGGCCUUUCUCCAAAGCCGAGCUGCAAGGUCCUGCUUAAAGGGAGGCAGCGAUGGGUGGGAGGACGGAGGUCUGGCCCAGUGGGAGGUGGGGUCGGGGGAGAGGCAAGCCCACGAGGGGGAGAAACCGAGGGGACCUGUCACCUGAUGGAGGCUGAGAGCUGGGGCGGAUGGGCGCUCGGUGGCCCCGGCAGGAGCCAUGCUGACUGGACAGAAGGAGAAAGUGCAGGCGUAGCUUCUGGGCACAGAGACCUGCGCCCACCACCCCACCUGUCACAGCUGUCCGGGCUCCCUGUGUGGGAUCCAAGCCUCCCAGCGGCCAGUCAGCCCGGGGGCAGCGCGCCCCUGUCCUUCCCUCCCCCAGGCUGCCCCAACCUAAACAGGGCAACCUCGGGGAGCUGCUGGCUGAUGGAAAAAUAACUUGGCUGGGAAAGGGGCUUUAUUUGUCUGUGCUGAAUUCCCGCCGCAGCCGAAGGGUAAAGACCUAGUCUCAGCCCGCAAGGUGGGUGGUAAAUCUGUUCUUACUUAGAUUUUGGGGAGCCGCGGGGGCAGCAGGAGAGGAUACUUGGAAUCCGCAGUGUCUCUGGGAUCAGUCACGUCAUCUCCUCUCCGACUCGGGGGAACGGCGUAGCUUGCCUGUCCCGGCAAGCAGCGCUUUGAGGCCUUAUGUGGCUGGCCCGUCGUCCCCGCCCCCAGCCCCUGCUAAGCUCGCGGGGUCGGCCCCGUGCUCGGCGCUCUGGGUGCAGUACCCCGGUCAGUCCCCACAACUGUCCCCCGCUUCUACAGGACAAACCCAAAGCGUGGAGAGGUUGAGCAGGGCUCUGGGGGCCUGGGCCGGCCAGGGUCUCCUGGACCCGUGUUCAUGCUUUUGAUGCUUUUCCAUCCUUCCCUGGGCUGCAGGCGGGGCUGGGCUUCCUCAUCUCCCUCUUCUCACUUCUGUUCUCUGCCCAAGUCCCGUGUACUUGUUAACCCAGAGAUGGAGGGAUGGCUUCUAAUUAAUGACUCCUGGCUUUGGUAUUUCUUGCAAUCAGUGCCAAGGCCCUUGUGGCCACUAUGUCCCAGCACUUGGAGUGGACACACUGGCAGACGGGUACAGGGCCAUGAGGUACACCAGGUCAUGGCCACGGCUCCUUCCAAGGGGCCGGACAAGGGCAUCCCAAGGCAGCUACGUGGGCUGAGACCAUCCAGGUAGUCAGGUAGAGUCAGGGGGACGGCACAGGCCGGACGGGCUGGUGUGCUGAGACUGGAGGGGGCCAGUGCGGCUCAGUGUGGUGUACAGAGCGGAGGGUGUGCGGGGAGGGGAGGCUGAGGGAAGGCACUGGAGGGUUUUAGGAGGAGGUGCAGUCUGGCUCUUUCAUCAUCUGAAUUUGUUCUUGCUGCUGUGAGGAGCAUGGACCGCAGAGGGUCCAGGCUGGAGGCCAGGGGACAAGGUACCGGCCGUGAUGGCAGUGCAGGUGAGAGACCUGGUGGUGGCCAGCUGUCGAGGGGGCUUGUCCUUUCCCACAACGACCCCUAAGGCCAUCCCGCUUCACACCUGGCCUGUACCUGCAUCGACACCAUCAGCACUUGGUGUCUCCCUGCCACAGCGGCUGGUUUUUCCACUGCCGCUGGAUGUGAACAAGAAACACAUGACCCUGAGGGCUGCUGGUGGUCACUCCAGGAGGGGAAGAAGCUGAAGGAGGGGACAGUGAGGACGGAUGGCAGGUGCGAGAGACACAGCCUCUGAACCACCGGUCCAGACGCCCGCCCUGGCCCCAACUCCCGGACUUCUGAACACCUAGAAUCCCGGAAGCGUGACGGCCACCGCACUGUCGCUGAGGCUAUUUGGCCCCCACGUCCAUCGUUCAGUGUCCCGAGUGAUGCUGAUGGGUGUUGAAAAACAGGAUCCAAUUUUGAUUUAUACACUGCAUUUGGAAAAUCCCCAUCGGUCUCAGAACUGACGCCCCCCGUGAUUACUGAGCUGCUUCUCUCAGGACCUGUAACAAGCCUGGCCUGGUGAACAGAAACAGAUUUCUCAGUUUUCAAACAUGAAGAGCUUCAGAGUUGUAUUUACUAUUGAUUUCUAAUUCAGAAUGCUCAUGGAGCCACAAGCAUAAGAAACAUGAAGAAAACACCAAGACACAUCCUUAUUAAACUGCAGAAAACCAGUGAUAAAAAGUUUAAAAAGCAUCAGGAGGAAAAAAAAGUCAUAUUAUGUACAGAGGAACAAAUGUAAAAAGGCAGCAAAUGUCUCCUCAGAGACAAUGCAUGCCAGAGGACAGUGGAACCACAUCUUUAAAAUAUGGAAAGAGAAAACUGUUGACUUAGAAUUCUAUAUCUGGCAAAAAUUAAGGAGAUAAAAUGGAAAAAUAAUUAAACAUAAGAGUAAAUCUUUGCGACCUUGCAUUGGGCAAAGUCUUCUUACAUAUGACACCAAGAGCACAAGAAACAAAAGAAAAAAUAAACUGAAUUUCAUUAAACUUAAAAGCUUUUGUGCUUCAAGAACAUCAUGAAGGAAGAAAGUGAGGGACUUCCCUGGUGGUGCAGUGGCUAAGAAUGCAGGGGACGUGGGUUCGAACCCUGGUCUGGGAAGAUCCCACAUGCUGUGGAGCAACUAAGCCUGUGUGCCACGACUACUGAAGCUCAUGCGCACCGCAACAAGAGAAGCCACUGCAAUGAGAAGCCCACGCAAGGCAACAAAGGGUAGCCCCUGCUCUCCGCAACUAAGACUGAGCACAGCCAAAAAAAGAAAGUGAGAAGACGAUACACAGUAGGAGAGAAAACAUUUACAAAUCAUACACUUGAUAAGGAACUUAUUUGUAUCCAGAACAUAUAAAUAACUCAAUAAUGAAAAGACAACCUGAUUAAAAAAUGGACAAAGGAUCUGAAUAGAUAUUUCUCCAAAGAAGAUACACAAAUAAUUCAAUAAGCACGUGAAAAGAUGCCCAACAUCAUUAGUCACUAGGGAAAUGCAAAUCAAAACCACAACAAGCUGUACCUUCACAACCACUAAGAUAACUAUAACCAAAAAGACAGCAUCUAAGUGUUGGUGAGGGAUGUGGAGACACAAAUCCUCAUAUGUUGCUGGUGGAAAUGCAAAACGAUGGAGCUGCUUUGGAAAACAGUCUGCCAGUUCCUCAAAACAGUUAACAAGGAGUAACUUAUAACCCUGUAAUUCUACUCCUAGGUAUAUAAUCAAGAGAACUGAAAACAUAUCUACUUAAAAAUCUGUACAUGAAUGGUCACAGCAGCAUUAUUCAUAAUAGCCAAAAAAUGGAAACAAUCCAAACGUCUGUCAACUGAAGAAUGUAUAAACAAAACGGGGAAUGUCCAUACAAUGGAAUAUCAUUCUGCAAUGAAAAGAAAGAAAGUGAUUCACCAAUUCCACUUCUGGGAAUACAUCCAAAGGAAACAACUCUAACUUGAAAAGAUAUCUGCAUCCUCAUGUUCUAAGUGUUAUUAACAAUAGCCAAGACUCAGAAACAACAUCCAUCAAUGGAUGAACAGCUAAAGUUGUGGUAUGUAUACACAAUAGAAUACUAUUCAGCCAUAAAAAAGAGGAAAUCCUACCAUUUGCAGCAAGAUGAAUGGACCUUGAAGGCAUUAUACUAAGUGAAAUAAGUCAAAGACAAAUACUGUAUGACCUCACUCACUUAUAUGUGGAAAAGGUCACAUUUCAGGAUCUGGUUCUCAGUUUUGUCGUCUAAAACUUCAACUUGGCAGUAAACCUAGAUUUGAUAGGGCUUAGAUGUACUAAUUCAUGCCAAGCUCACUCACAAAGACUUAAACAUUAAUUAAAAGGUCAAUUUAUUGAUUUGUAAAACUACAGUAAAAUUUUUAACUCCA